UUUAUCUGUUGAUUAGACGUCAAAUGCAACGGAAACCGCCAUUAGCUGUAGCAAUGUCAUUAUUCUAGUGCCACCUAUGUCAACACGGCGCACACUUAGAGACAAAGACGCACGAGUACAUUGAGCGUUGGAGACAGGUGUGGGAGUAGAAUACUUCAAGGUCCAAUACGUCACCCUACGGAGAUGUAUAUAUAAGCCACAUCCAGCGAUUAUGAGACAUAGACCAGUUCCGACCUGCAAGAAAGAGGCACGAGCUAACUCAACAUGAAGGUGCUGGCGAUCCUGUUUGCUCUGUGUACAUUGGCAGCCCUGACAUUGGCUGACCCCCAGUGUCCUGCCCACGACGGAGCCACGCCCAAAUACUUCCCUGACGAGUCGGACCCGAACGGCUUCUGGGAGUGCAGCAAUGGUGUAGCCAUUCACGAGAACUGUGCUCCUGGACUCGUUUGGAACAGCAACAUCAACGCCUGUGACUGGCCUUAGGGGAACAACUGCAACACCUGAACUGUCUGCUUGCAUGUUCUAUUUGCUGAAUACGUCGUGUAAGUUUGUGCAACAUGUCAAACGAAGACACUUCAAGGCGAACCUGAAUGUUUACAGACACUAAUGUUACAUAAACCAACAGCAAAGUUCAUGGUGAAUAAACAGUUAUUAUAAGGUUA